UAGAGUUUGAUCCUGGCUCAGAAUGAACGUUGGCGGCGUGGAUUAGGCAUGCAAGUCGUACGCUUUAUGUAGCAAUACAUGAAGAGUGGCGUAAGGGAGAGUAAUGCAUGGUUAGCUACCCUCGGGACUGGGAUAGCGGCGGGAAACUGCCGGUAAUACCAGAUGACAUCUUCGGAUCAAACGUGUAAACCGGCCCGUGGAAGUGACCAUGUCCUAUCAGCUGGUUGGCGGUGUAACGGACCACCAAGGCUAAGACGGGUAUGGGGCGUGAGAGCGUGCCCCCACUCACUGGGACUGAGACACUGCCCAGACACCUACGGGUGGCUGCAGUCGAGAAUCUUCGGCAAUGGGCGCAAGCCUGACCGAGCGACGCCGCGUGCGGGAUGAAGGCCUUCGGGUUGUAAACUGCUGUCGUAGGGGAGGAAGGUCUGGUGUAUAGCCAGGCUUGACCGAUCCUAGGAGGAAGGGCCGGCUAAUCUCGUGCCAGCAGCCCCGGUCAA
rnacentral:rRNA from 1 species